GGGAUGGCUGGGUUCAGUGUCCACGUAAAACAAAUCCCAACUGGUUGAAUACGAACUGAUUUCAAGAAUGGGUAAGACAGAUGGGAAAUAGAUAUAUAUAUAUUUCCCAUCUGUCUUACUAGUACAUAUACAUUUGUAUUGGGAAAUAUAUAUAUAAAUUUAUAUGGUUGGUACCAGCGGAAGAAAAAUGAAGAUAAAACCAAAACCUCAAGUUAAGUGUCCCAUCCUAUGAAACAUCUCCCUGGGAAAAAUUAUUCUCAAGUAAACUUUUAUUCUCUGGUGCAUUCUUAGGAGUUUACAUUGGCUUCUGAAACUUCCUAAUCAGCCCCAACCUCCGACUCCCUCUGGUUCCACUGAACGAGAGGCCUGCUAACCGUGCCUCAGUUCACUCUUCUCAGUAGCCAAAGGGUCCCUGCUCUCAAAACAUGAAUGCUCUAACCCGAGGCAGGGACAUAGAGACACACGUGUGCAAGGGCCCACUGGGACUGUGCGUAUAUCUGGGAAUUCAUUUCCUGGGGAGAAGGAAAGGUGAUGGGCAGGCUGGCUGAGGAAAGGUUAGGGAACAGGAGCCCCAAACUCCCCAGAGGCCUGGGGAGGAAGGGGCCCCCCGAAACUUUAACAAAAGGCAAGUUUUGAAUCUGGUUGUUGAUAACAAGAAUUGAAAUGUCCUAGACCCUGUGUGAGAAACGCACCACACGGAGGAGAGGUCUUGAGGAAAGGCCCUGUCGCGUUUCACGUGGCACGCCCUGGAUCUCUUGCCGUAACAGUGGCUCAAAAGAAAAUGCACCAGAGUAAUGAUGCUGUGGGCUCUAAGGGUCUCCGCAAAGACGCACCCCCCUCAUAAGCGGAUUCUAGUCUCUGGGUUUCACUGCCAGCCUGCCCCAGAGCAGUGCUUGGCCCAACACCCUGCCAACGGGGUGAGCGGGCUUACAAACCGCUCAUGCGUGAAGGUUACGUAAAAACAAGCCGCCCAGCUCCCCUGCAGGCAGGCGGAUGGACAAACGGCACUGCUGGGACCCUGCUUGGCCAUGGGGGAAGGACACACACAGCCUGGGUGAGUCCCCGAAUCACUGUACCGAGUGGAAGAUGUCAGAGGAAACCACGUACGCACUGCAGGAGGCCAUUAUGCAAAGCUCUAGAAGAUGCAAAUUAACCUACAGUGACUGAAGGCAGAAAGAAAACAAAAAGCAGCCCAAGGCGAAAAAGUCGAUCCUGUGCCCUGAGCACAGGCAGUCCUGAGGUGCGAGCGGUUUCCCACCAGGCUCUUCUUGGCCUUUCGAGAACUUCAGCCCCUCUCUGCUGUUUCCUGUUGCUGGCAUCCACUUUCCCAUCUCACAAUAUUUUCUCCUGUCUGGUCUCCUGUAUCUGAAACCCACUGCUACGGGAUCUCCCCUCUUUCUGGAAAAUGUUCAUUAAACAGGAAACAAACCCA
rnacentral:lncRNA from 1 species